rnacentral:rRNA from 1 species
AGCGAACGCUGGCGGCAGGCCUAACACAUGCAAGUCGAACGAACUUUUUGGAGUUAGUGGCGGACGGGUGAGUAACACGUGGGAACGUGCCUUUAGGUUUGGAAUAACUCAGGGAAACUUGUGCUAAUACCGAAUGUGCCCUUCGGGGGAAAGAUUUAUUGCCUUUAGAGCGGCCCGCGUUUGAUUAGCUAGUUGGUGAGGUAACGGCUCACCAAGGCGACGAUCAGUAGCUGGUUUGAGAGGAUGACCAGCCACACUGGGACUGAGACACGGCCCAGACUCCUACGGGAGGCAGCAGUGGGGAAUCUUGCGCAAUGGGCGAAAGCCUGACGCAGCCAUGCCGCGUGAAUGAUGAAGGUUUUAGGAUUGUAAAAUUCUUUCACCGGGGACGAUAAUGACGGUACCCGGAGAAGAAGCCCCGGCUAACUUCGUG